GGAUAAUAGAACCUACAUAUUUGAAUUGAUUGCAUUUUAGCACCAAAACUCUAUCCAAUCAAACCUCACCUCAAUUUCUUUUAUCAGAGCGAAACUCACAAUUAAGAGUCAAUUUUACACACAAUCUGCGUACAUGACAUGAAAAAUAGAGGGUUUAUGUUGAGCUUAUUUUUGUCGUGUUGACCCAUUUACCACACGCUAAUAAUCGUGUUGUGUAAUGGGUUAAUUCGCAAACUCAAUUUGACACGUUUAUG
rnacentral:misc_RNA from 1 species